rnacentral:rRNA from 1 species
UACGUAAGUGGCGAGCGUUAUCCGGAAUUACUGGGCGUAAAGCGUGCGUAGGCGGUUUAGUGUGUGGGAAUUGAAAGCCCGGGCUCAACUCCCGGGAUCCGGUUCCCAAACUGCCUAGACUCGAGAGUAUCAGAGGAGAGCGGAAUUCCCGGUGUAGCGGUAACUAUGCGUAGAUAUCGGGAGGAACACCAGUGGCGAAGGGCGGCUCUCCU